rnacentral:rRNA from 3 species
UCAAGUAAUUAAGUGCAUGUGGUGGAUGCCUUGGCAGUCAGAGGCGAUGAAAGACGUGAUAGCCUGCGAAAAGCUCCGGGGAGGCGGCAAAUAUCCUUUGAUCCGGAGAUGUCUGAAUGGGGGAACCCACCUACUUUAAGGUAGGUAUUGCAACAUGAAUACAUAGUGUUGCAAGGCGAACGAGGGGAAGUGAAACAUCUCAGUACCCUUAGGAAAAGAAAUCAAUUGAGAUUCCCUCAGUAGCGGCGAGCGAACGGGGAUCAGCCCAUUAAGUUAUGUGUGUUUUAGUGGAACGCUCUGGGAAGUGCGAACGUAGAGGGUGAUAUUCCCGUACACGAAAGGGCACACAUAAUGAUGACGAGUAGGGCGAGGCACGUGAAACCUUGUCUGAAUAUGGGGGGACCAUCCUCCAAGGCUAAAUACUCCUGACUGACCGAUAGUGAACCAGUACCGUGAGGGAAAGGCGAAAAGAACCCCUGUGAGGGGAGUGAAAUAGAUCCUGAAACCGCAUGCAUACAAGCAGUGGGAGCACCUUCGUGGUGUGACUGCGUACCUUUUGUAUAAUGGGUCAGCGACUUAUAUUCAGUAGCAAGGUUAACCGUAUAGGGGAGCCGUAGAGAAAUCGAGUCUUAAUAGGGCGUUUAGUUGCUGGGUAUAGACCCGAAACCAGGCGAUCUAUCCAUGAGCAGGUUGAAGGUUGGGUAACACUAACUGGAGGACCGAACCCACUGUCGUUGAAAAGCCAGGGGAUGACUUGUGGAUAGGGGUGAAAGGCUAAUCAAGCCUGGUGAUAGCUGGUUCUCCCCGAAAGCUAUUUAGGUAGCGCCUCGGACGAAUACCAUAGGGGGUAGAGCACUGUUUCGGCUAGGGGGUCAUCCCGACUUACCAAACCGAUGCAAACUCCGAAUACCUAUGAGUACUAUCCGGGAGACAGACUGCGGGUGCUAACGUCCGUAGUCAAGAGGAAAACAAUCCAGACCGCCAGCUAAGGCCCCAAAAUCAUAGUUAAGUGGGAAACGAUGUGGGAAGGCAUAGACAGCUAGGAGGUUGGCUUAGAAGCAGCCACCCUUUAAAGAAAGCGUAAUAGCUCACUAGUCGAGUCGGCCUGCGCGGAAGAUGUAACGGGGCUAAAACUAUGUGCCGAAGCUGCGGAUUUGACAUUAGUCAAGUGGUAGGGGAGCGUUCUGUAAGCCGAUGAAGGUGUGUUGAGAAGCAUGCUGGAGGUAUCAGAAGUGCGAAUGCUGACGUGAGUAACGACAAAACGGGUGAAAAACCCGUUCGCCGAAAGACCAAGGGUUCCAGUCCAACGUUAAUCGGGGCUGGGUGAGUCGACCCCUAAGGCGAGGCCGAAAGGCGUAGUCGAUGGGAAAAUGGUUAAUAUUCCAUUACUUCUGUGUAAUGCGAUGAGAGGACGGAGAAGGCUAAAUCAGCCUGGCGUUGGUUGUCCAGGUGAAAGGAUGUAGGCAUGUAUCUUAGGCAAAUCCGGGGUACUCUAUGCUGAGAUCUGAUAGCAAGCUGUACUUGUACAGCGAAGUGGUUGAUGCCAUGCUUCCAGGAAAAGUCUCUAAGCUUCAGUUACACAGGAAUCGUACCCGAAACCGACACAGGUGGUCAGGUCGAGUAGACCAAGGCGCUUGAGAGAACUCUGCUGAAGGAACUAGGCAAAAUGGUACCGUAACUUCGGGAGAAGGUACGCUGUUGUUGGUGAUGGAACUCGCUUCCUGAGCUGACGACAGCCGCAGAAACCAGGCCGCUGCAACUGUUUAUUAAAAACAUAGCACUCUGCAAACACGAAAGUGGACGUAUAGGGUGUGAUGCCUGCCCGGUGCUGGAAGGUUAAUUGAUGGGGUUAGCGUAAGCGAAGCUCUUGAUCGAAGCCCCAGUAAACGGCGGCCGUAACUAUAACGGUCCUAAGGUAGCGAAAUUCCUUGUCGGGUAAGUUCCGACCUGCACGAAUGGCAUAAUGAUGGCGGCGCUGUCUCCAGCAGAGGCUCAGUGAAAUCGAAAUCGCUGUGAAGAUGCAGUGUACCCGCGGCUAGACGGAAAGACCCCGUGAACCUUUACUGCAGCUUGACACUGAACUUUGACCUUACUUGUGUAGGAUAGGUGGGAGGCUUUGAAGCUGGAACGCUAGUUCCAGUGGAGCCGUCCUUGAAAUACCACCCUGGUAAUGUUGAGGUUCUAACUCUGUCCCGUGAUCCGGGACGAGGACCGUGUCUGGUGGGUAGUUUGACUGGGGCGGUCUCCUCCUAAAGAGUAACGGAGGAGUACGAAGGUGCGCUCAGCGUGGUCGGAAAUCACGCGUAGAGUAUAAAGGCAAAAGCGCGCUUAACUGCGAGACCCACAAGUCGAGCAGGUACGAAAGUAGGUCUUAGUGAUCCGGUGGUUCUGUAUGGAAGGGCCAUCGCUCAACGGAUAAAAGGUACUCUGGGGAUAACAGGCUGAUACCGCCCAAGAGUUCAUAUCGACGGCGGUGUUUGGCACCUCGAUGUCGGCUCAUCUCAUCCUGGGGCUGAAGCAGGUCCCAAGGGUAUGGCUGUUCGCCAUUUAAAGAGGUACGCGAGCUGGGUUUAGAACGUCGUGAGACAGUUCGGUCCCUAUCUACCGUGGGCGCUGGAAAUUUGAGAGGAUCUGCUCCUAGUACGAGAGGACCAGAGUGGACGAACCUCUGGUGUACCGGUUGUGACGCCAGUCGCAUCGCCGGGUAGCUAUGUUCGGAAGGGAUAACCGCUGAAAGCAUCUAAGCGGGAAGCCUACCUCAAGAUAAGAUUUCCCUAGGACUUUAUGUCCUCUAAAGAGCCGUUCGAGACUAGGACGUUGAUAGGUUGGAUGUGGAAGCAUAGUGAUAUGUGAAGCUGACCAAUACUAAUUGCUCGUGAGGCUUGACUAU